rnacentral:rRNA from 1 species
AGCCAGACUCCUACGGGAGGCAGCAGUGGGGGAUAUUGCACAAUGGGGGGAACCCUGAUGCAGCGACGCCGCGUGGGUGAAGAAGCGCCUCGGCGCGUAAAGCCCUGUCAGCAGGGAAGAAAAUGACGGUACCUGAAGAAGAAGCCCCGGCUAACUACGUGCCAGCAGCCGCGGUAAUACGUAGGGGGCAAGCGUUAUCCGGAUUUACUGGGUGUAAAGGGAGCGUAGACGGCGAUGCAAGCCAGAUGUGAAAGCCCGGGGCUCAACCCCGGGACUGCAUUUGGAACUGUGUGGCUGGAGUGUCGGAGAGGCAGGCGGAAUUCCUAGUGUAGCGGUGAAAUGCGUAGAUAUUAGGAGGAACACCAGUGGCGAAGGCGGCCUGCUGGACUGAAACUGACGCUGAGGCACGAAAGCGUGGGGAGCGAACAGGAUUAGAUACCCUAGUA